rnacentral:snRNA from 1 species
GUGCUCGCUUCGGCAGCACAUAUACUAAAAUUAGUAC